GUAUUCCACUUUCCCAUUUCAUUUUGCAAUAGCCCUAACUCCUUCAGUUGCACUAUCUCCUUCCAUCACAGCUCUCUCUCCUUCCAUCACCGGUCUUGCCCUUCCAUCACCGGUGGUUUAGAGAGACAAAGUCAUCGCUACUGCACACACAGAUAGAGAAAAAGUCAUCGUUGGGGGUUUCCAAAACCUCAUCUACACUAAUAGAUCGGAUGAGAAUUUUUUUAGGAUUAUCGGCAGACGACUCUCUUCGCGAAAGCCCUAGCUCCUUGCCCCCGACCACUGGACAUCGCGAAAGCCUUGGAUAGCUUCUUGCCUUCUCCUUAUAGCUUUCUAAAGUCUAAACAAGAUUGAUGAAAAAGAAGGUAUUCAGCUUUCUCGUGCAGAUUUAUUCAUACACACACAUACAAAUAAGGAUGGCAAUGCUACUGAUGUUGCUGCUUCAAAGAUGAUUGCUUUAACAUUUACAUCUGAAUCUGUAAUCCCUCAAUCUCUUUCUCUCAAACACAACAUCUGCAAUUAAUUAGUCUCUUCAUGUUUGUCAUUCCAUGAGUUAGAGAAAAGAACUGGAUGAAAUACUUUUGGCCUUUGGCAAAGCCAAGAAGAUGAGGACGGUGAAACGGAUGAGGAUCCUGCUAUUCGCUUGUAUAAGGACACACAUUUUAAGGAACAAAGUGGAUGGGCACACGAGAAAGCUAAAAGGAAUUUUUUAAAAUGAGCUAAAAACGGUCCAUUAUGGCCUUUUGGAGUCAAGCCAGAGCAUCGGGACAAAUUCUAGAAGAAAGCAAGGAUGCAGCUAAAUGCCACGUCCGGACGCCAUUCCUCGUGUUCGGACGCGAGGCUUCAAUACACUGCGUCCGGACACCAUUCCUCGCAUCCGGAUGUGAGGCUUCAAUGCACUACGUCUAGACGCCAAGCUCCUGGCAGUAGACCAAUUACGGGAUUGACAUAUUUUAAGGGUUACAGAAUUAACUCUUUUGGACUUAUUUUGUAACCUAUUUGGCUCUGAUGGGCUUAUUACUUAAGGCAAGUGAACCAUUAGUUUAAGGUUAGUUUGUAUUUUAUUUAAGGGAGUUUCUUUUAUUUUUUUAUGGAUUAAGUUUUAUAUUCUGUAUGGUGGUAUUACGGUCUCUCUGGAAAAACACGCGAAAGGGAGAAAAAACAAGAACAGGCUAGGGUUUUGAGAAAAAGCUCAAAGAUGAUAAAUCCAAAGAUGGAGAUUGUUUUGUCUUCAACACCAUCAACCAUGAGUAGUUGAUUCUUCUACUUAGGGUUGGAUAAACCUUAAGCAUGUAACCUAACUUCUCUAUCUUUUACUAUUUUGGGGAUGUAAAUUAUGUAAUUUUUGUAUAGACUUUGAAUGUUAUUGAAUAACUUCUUCCAAUUGGUUAUCAAUGUUAAAUUCAUGUUGUCUUA